rnacentral:rRNA from 1 species
AGCGAACGUUAGCGGCGGGCCUAACACAUGCAAGUCGAGCGAGAAAGUGGCUUCGGCCAUCAGUAAAGCGGCGGACGGGUGAGUAACACGUGGGUAAUCUUCCUUCGAGCGGGGGACAACGGUCCGAAAGGACCGCUAAUACCGCAUACGUUUCUCGGGACCUCGGUCCUGGGAAGGAAAGCUAGGUAGCAAUAUCCGGCACUCGAUGAGGAGCCUGCGUCGCAUCAGCUAGUUGGUGGGGAAUGGCCCACCAAGGCGAAGACGCGUAGCUGGUCUGAGAGGAUGAUCAGCCACACUGGGACUGAGACACGGCCCAGACUCCUACGGGAGGCAGCAGUGGGGAAUAUUGGACAAUGGGCGCAAGCCUGAUCCAGCCACG